rnacentral:rRNA from 1 species
GAUGAACGCUGGCGGCGUGCCUAAUACAUGCAAGUCGAGCGAACAGAUAAGGAGCUUGCUCCUUUGACGUUAGCGGCGGACGGGUGAGUAACACGUGGAUAACCUACCUAUAAGACUGGGAUAACUUCGGGAAACCGGAGCUAAUACCGGAUAACAUAUUGAACCGCAUGGUUCAAUAGUGAAAGGCGGCUUUGCUGUCACUUAUAGAUGGAUCCGCGCCGUAUUAGCUAGUUGGUAAGGUAACGGCUUACCAAGGCAACGAUACGUAGCCGACCUGAGAGGGUGAUCGGCCACACUGGAACUGAGACACGGUCCAGACCCCUACGGGAGGCAGCAGUAGGGAAUCUUCCGCAAUGGGCGAAAGCCUGACGGAGCAACGCCGCGUGAGUGAUGAAGGUCUUCGGAUCGUAAAACUCUGUUAUCAGGGAAAAACAAAUGUGUAAGUAACUGUGCACAUCUUGACGGUACCUGAUCAGAAAGCCACGGCUAACUACGUG